rnacentral:RNase_P_RNA from 2 species
CGAGUCAGUCCGACGGUCGCGACGCGGGCAACCGCAUCGAGGAAAGUCCGGGCUCCACAGGGCAGGGUGGUGGCCAACAGCCACCCGGGGCGACCCGCGGGACAGUGCCACAGAGAACAGACCGCCUCCCGGCUCCGGCCGGGCGGCAAGGGUGAAACGGUGGUGUAAGAGACCACCAGCGACUCCGGUGACGGAGCCGGCUAGGUAAACCCCACCCGGAGCAAGCUCAGACAGUGUGCGUUCGAGGGCGGCCCGCCCGAGCACACGGGUAGAGCGCUGGAGGCCCCUGGCAACAGUGGUCCGAGAUGGAUGACCGUCAGCGUGACCCGGGCAACCGGCCACGUGACAGAACCCGGCUUAUGACUGACUCGUCCG